CGUGUAGGCGGAUUUUCAAGUCAAAUGUGAAACCCGGCAGCUUAACUGCCGGCCUGCAUUUGAAACUGGGAAUCUUGAGUACGGGAGAGGAAAGCGGAAUUCCUGGUGUAGCGGUGAAAUGCGUAGAUAUCAGGAGGAACACCGGUGGCGAAGGCGGCUUUCUGGCCCGAUACUGACGCUGAGGCGCGAAGGCUAGGGGAGCAAACA
rnacentral:rRNA from 1 species